UGGGCGGCUUCCGCGAGGCCCAGCAGGCCGUGGGGACCGAGCAACAAGGAAAGGGACCCUUCUUUGUCAUUUUUACUCGUGACCCAGAAGAAGAAACAGCAGGUAAAUGAAAUUCACGUGGCACGAAAUGGGGAAGUGUUACAAACACCAGAGUGACCGGACAUCUGAUGGCCAUGGCCGCGGAAGAAAUAAUCGAGUGAGAAUUGUCCUGGCAAAGUCCUGAGCUGGCACAUCUGGAGACCAAGAUUUCCAAAACGAGAAGGCGGCUGCCCACGUGCACAAGGAAGGCAGGGUAAUGAUGUUCCAGGCAGAACCGGAAGGAAGGCACAGCUGAUGAAAUGGAACAAAGAGAUAUGCGGACACUCGGGUCCCCCAGAGCUAGGUGUGGCCAUCUGAGACAGCUGCCCUCUCCCGAAAGAAAACUCGGGGUUAAAUCUGCAACCGUCAGUGCAUCUGGCAACAAAAUAGAAGGAAACCACACUCUCCAUGAAUGAAGGAAGAAGGUAGUUGUUUUGUGUUUUGUUUUUUUUCCUCCCUUUUCUUUUUUUUCAAACAUGAGUAAGAUCCUCAAUAUGUUUGAGAUUAUUUAGCAAGUUCUCUGAAAGGGGCCUCGGGUCACUAGCCAGCGGAUCGCGGAUGGAGAAACCACAUUCUUCCGAACGUCCCUCCCUCCCCGACCCCAAAGACAGCAGGGUGGGCAUCCUGAGGGUCUCUGUUUAGUUAACCAUUAACAAUUCAUAAAAGUCCAGACCUCUGCACGAUAAGUCCAGUCCUUGGAAUGUUAUUAGAAAUAGGAAAAAAAAAAAAAAAAGCAAACGAGUUAAUGCAAAACAUGAACCAACCCACUAUCCCCAUUUGCUCUGAGGCCAGCCAGCAAAUUUGUGGGAGUGAUUUUAACCCUUGGGGCCCUGCAGGCCCGGGACUCUGGUUGGCUGAAGGCUCAGCCCCCCAAAGGCUGGGGCGGCUCGGAUCCGAAAGGCACCUUCACUCGGUAUUCACGGGAACGCCAAGCAGCUCUUUCUGCCUCCGAACCAAUUGCUUCUUGAAAUUCACACAGCCCCAUCUUCUUUCCCCUUCUUGGACCGCUCUCAGCUUCUCUGGGCCCUUGCAGGGAUAAAAAGGGAGGAAGGUCACAUCAUCGAAUCCCAGCCAAGUUAAAUGCGUUUAAUGGCAUGACUGUGUGUCUGAAGUAAAUGGAUAAGAAUCUCAUCUCUAAACGCUUGGAUCCAAAAUUAUGCAGCUUGGGCUCGAAUUCUUUUCUGGUGCUGGUCGCCAGCUUCUGUGGGGUUUCUGAAAAGCAUACGUCCAGUCCC